rnacentral:lncRNA from 1 species
CUUUCAUACCUCUUUUGUUUUUUUUCUUUGUUUUUAUUUUUUUAUUCAUUCACUGAGCCGGGGUCGAUUGGAAAUAGCCUCUCUGUCUUUUCGGAUAAGGAUAAGGCCUGUCUAUAUAUUACCCUUCCAAGACUCCACUUUGUGGGACUAUAUUAGGUAAUUGUUGUUGUAGUAGUUAAGCUGUACCAACGCGGUACUAACGGGGGCAAGUUCUAAAUUUCGAAAAAUUUGUAUGCUUUAUAUUUGUCAACUAUGCCUCUUCCUAUUGGACCCUCACUAUUCUAGAAGCUACUCACAUUCUGACCAUCUUCUUUGUUCAGUUCUCUGUGUCUAUUGAUUUUGAUUGCAUUGCUCUUUCUCUUCCUUUUGAGCCUUCACUAUUUUCAUCAGAGAACUUUUUGUUUCUUUUCUCAGUUCUCCAGCGGGUUCUUCUUCCUCCUCUUCUUUAUUUUUUUGCUUCGUUUUUGGUGAAUUUUCGAUUUCCUCUAUAAUUAAAGCCAUGUUUAUGUUUCAAUCUUCAAUGUAAAUUUUCAAGGUUUAGCGUUUUGUGAUUUUGACUGAAUCAUAAUUUGGGUCUCAUGUGUUCUUUAUGUCUUGAUAUGAAUAGUGAGAGUUAAAAUUUGGUCUUGAUCCUUUUGUACCUUUUAAUUGCUAAUGGGAUCUGUAGUCAAACGAUUUCUUUUCAAUAUGCCUUAAUUUCUCAAUUUUUCAGUUUCAUGUUACCAUUGGUCGUGCAUUAUAGUUGUGGUAAAUUUUUUUUUUUUGGUGGUAAUUCUUGCUUCUUUUCUUAAAUCCACCCUGUUGCUAAUAGAAUUUUUGUGACAAUCUAGUAGUUCCUGUGGAUAUUUUAAAAUUAAUUUAUGCGACCAACGUGUUUGACGAAUUUUCCUAGCAAAAGGAAGACUUGUGUGUGCUAGGGUGAUGAAGCUGAAUUUGAUUUCGCUCUGUUUACUGUGCCUGUGCUUCUUUUAUUUUCCCUCAAUGUUAUACCUCUGUGUCGACAAGGGGUCACCACAUAAGUGUUUCUAGAACUACUUUAAUUUUUGUGGUUAUUUUGUAAUGGUAUUUCAUUUGCUUGCGCAUGUGUAAUUCUGCAGUAGCAACAUUACUAUUUCUCUAACUUUUGUUGACAUGAAAAAUUAGAUGACUUAUAGUUUUCAAAUUGAGCAGAUACUUUUCCCGGUGAUAUCUUUUUCAUUUAAAAAUUUUCAAGAAAAAAAUUGAUAAACAUUUGUAUGUUAGGGAGUCAUGCUGUGAGGUGAUCUAUUUUCCUUGUGGCAUCUUUCAACUUCCAGGUAAUUUAUUGAGUAAGAAUUGGGGAAAGUUAUCAAAUUCUUUAAUGUUGUUGCGAAAUUGGCAGUGAAAUUUAAGUUCAAUCUUAAGGUAAGUUUUUCACUGUUAUUCUUUUUGUUGUCUGUACUACAUUUGAGAAAAUAUGGUCACAGCAAGCUGUGGAAGGUGAAAAAAAAUUAAGUUGCAAAUUUAGAAUAUUGAGCACGCCGGAUCAGGCCAAAAAAUUGACUUUAGCUUCCCCAAUUUCCAAGCCCUUCAGGUACAAUUCCACUUUCUUUAUAGAACCUUAAAAUAUUGGGUCGCUUUUUCUUGACAAAAUGGUUGUUAUCAUACUCAUAACAAUUGUUACUCUGGAAUUGGGGAGGAGAAUCAUACAAGUAUAGGCUUAUGCUGCUUGAGAUCAAUUAGGUGAUCUAUAUACUCAUAUAAUAUCAUGUAAUAUGACUAAACUCUACUUUAGAGUUCCUGUAGUGUGUGGCUUUUCCCUCUGGAUGUUGAUUUCUUAAUAUGGCACUGUGUGAUUGUUUGAGUAUCAUGAGGUUGAAUGUAAACAGAAUAGUUUAUGUAGAACCAUUUUAAUUGCAUUUGGUAGUUCCUGAAAGCUUUUAGCUCAACCACAAUAAUUUUGCAAGGUAUUGCGCACAUCUAUCUGUUCUUUAUAGAGUCAAGUGGAAAGGAGAACAUGACCCUUUGUAGUCUAAUUUUCUUUUGCCUUACAGGAACAUGAUGGGCUAAUUGUUUGAACAACAAUUAUUUUUGCAAGUAAGAUAGCUAGUAAGAUAUUAACCGGACACUAUAUCAGGUGAGUGUUUUAAGUAUCUAGCACUAUUUAUUUCGGACUCUCAUAUCUGUGUGAACAUCUUUUUGACAAAUGCAGGGAUUGUUUCAAAGAAAAAAACAUAUAACCUUGAGAUCAUCUUGGGUUAUUUCUUUGUAAUCUGAAGACAUUAGGUUAUUUCUCCUAGACAUGAACCUAUUUUUUACAUGAAAAGUUUCUUUGUCACGAUCAAGAACCUAUUUUUCCUAGACAUGAUCAUCUUGGGUUGUUUCUUUGUCAACUCUGUGUAGACCUAUCAUGAUGGAAAGUUUCCAUUGUUGGAACCUAUGGAUUCGAUCACCUACAACAGAUAAUGAUGAUGAUCUUUUGACGUACAAUAUCAUUUAUAAUAUAAUUAUUCAAAAAGCCUUUGCAUGGAUAGAUCCCUUGGAUGGGCCCAAAUUCUGAUGAUGUGCCAUGGUUCCUUAUUCAUAUUUCAUAGAAGGUUGACUCCAACUUCGUACAGUGAUAGCAGUUGCUCCAUUUUUACUGUUGAGGUAUUUCACUUCUAUUUGUUUUAUUAUCAUCUUAAUUUACCUUGUGCAUAAUUCGAAUUGUGAAGGAUCUUAUAGAUUUCUUCUGAAUGUAAGUUGGUCUUCCAUUAGUUUUUGAUACACGAAGUUCACCAAUAAAUUAUGAGAUAAAAUCUGAAGUAACCACUAGAUUUAGUUGGCAAACACACAGUCCACUUUUAACUGUAGAACCUCAAUCUGAUUGAGUAUAGCCCAUAUAUACCUAGGUUUGUUUAAGAAUACAUGGGUAUAACUUUUUAGUGCUUUCUAUCAUGUUCCUCGAUUUUGCCAGAGAUUUGAAGCUGCUUUCAUUUGUUACCUUGUGUAUUUCUCAUUCAUAACCGAUUUUUUCUUUUUAGAGUUUUUGCCCCAAGAUGCAAUGAAGGCAUAUUAAUUUGGUGUUUUUCUCUGUAUGUUGUGGUAAAGUAUCAUUUAUACUAUUGAUAUGGACCUGAAAUAUUGUGUGUUCUUAUAUUAAAUUUGAUAACCACUGUGUGCAUCAAUUAAAAUCUGCUAAUUCUCAUGACUUGCUUCUAAAUCCUCCUUUUAAUUCAAACACAAUAUUUUUAGGUUAACUAUGUUCUUGAGGCCCUGGUUGUACUACAUCCCCAUUGUCUCUUAUCGUUUCAUAUUAGCUAAUUUUAUUGGAUGGUGAUAAAGUUUGACAGAUAUGUUAUACGUGAAAUAUUAAAUAGACCAGAGUUAUCGUCCCAGCAUAUAAAUUGGAGACAUGGCAUAUUGGAUUCUGCAAGAAAUGUCGUCGAGAAGAGCAGCUAAAUGAAUCUAUAUCUUAGUCACAUUGUAGUAUUUAAUUUUAAUAGAAGGGAUACGCAAAACAGGGCCACUUGGAAAGGUUGUACUCUUAUUUGAGAUGUUUGAGGUGUAGAUUUAUAAAAUACUGGAAUUCCAAUACAGCAACAUAGAGAUAUUAUGCAAGAUGUAAGGGUUUGGAGUUCUCCCAAACAAUGUUGUAUGUAUAUGAUCUUGUGAAGUAUCGCUGCUCUUAUUAGCCUAAGAGGCUCCUUGGCCAUUCAACAUUUCUAAUCAAAUUUCAUUUCAAAUUC